AUCUCCUCUGACUACACUGAAGGAAGGAGUGGAGUCAGAGGAGAGUUAAUCUCCAGAUACUCUAACUCCUCCCUCUUUAUUCCAUUGACAAUUGCUCCACAUACCUGCUUGUAGUGCAUGGUCUUUUUUUUCCUACCCUACAUUGUCCCUAAGGAGAUCUUGUAAGUUUUGCAUGAGAUGGUUCUCUUCAAUAGGACAUCACUAGGCAAGUAGUGGGAAGAGAGAAAGGAAAUAGUCUGGUAAGCACUAUCUGGUAUCUACAAAAUGAGCAGAUUUGAAAUAUCUAGCACUGGGUAUUGAUUUUUUUUCUAAAAAUCUUUUUAAAAUGUUUUAAUUUAGAAAAUCCUGUACCUUCCAAAGAAGCAAGUGUUACAACUGAAACGCUUCCUUCAAGUACUGAAAAUUUUAUUGCAUCUCGAACAAUUUCCUCUACUACAGAGAAUCCCAUUAUAACUA